rnacentral:rRNA from 1 species
AUACAGAGGGUGCGAGCGUUAAGCGGAAUUACUGGGCGUAAAGCGCGCGUAGGCGGCUUAUUAAGUCAGAUGUGAAAUCCCCGGGCUCAACCUGGGAACUGCAUCUGAUACUGGUAAGCUAGAGUUUUGGAGAGGGAAGUAGAAUUUCAGGUGUAGCGGUGAAAUGCAUAGAGAUCUGAAGGAAUACCAGUGGCGAAGGCGACUUCCUGGCCAAAAACUGACGCUGAGGUGCGAAAGCGUGGGUAGCAAACGGGAUUAGAAACCCUAGUAGUCU